UACGUAGGGGGCUAGCGUUGUCCGGAUUUAUUGGGCGUAAAGAGCGUGUAGGCGGCCAGGUAGGUCUGGUGUGAAAACUCGAGGCUUAACCUCGAGAUGUCAUCGGAAACCAUCUGGCUAGAGUCCGGAAGAGGAGAGUGGAAUUCCCGGUGUAGCGGUGAAAUGCGCAGAUAUCAGGAAGAACACCCGUGGCGAAGGCGGCUCUCUGGGACGGUACUGACGCUGAGACGCGAAAGCGUGGGGAGCGAACAGG
rnacentral:rRNA from 1 species